UACGGGGGGUGCGAGCGUUGUCCGGAAUCACUGGGCGUAAAGGGCGCGUAGGUGGUUUGAUAAGGGUGUGGUGAAAGCCGGGGCUCAACCCCGGGUCUGCCGUGCCGACUGUCAAACUCGAGGGCUGUAGAGGCAGACGGAAUUCCGGGUGUAGCGGUGGAAUGCGUAGAGAUCCGGAGGAAGACCGGUGGCGAAGGCGGUCUGCUGGGCCUGUUCUGGAC
rnacentral:rRNA from 1 species